rnacentral:rRNA from 1 species
UGCAGUCGAGCGGGGGAAGGUAGCUUGCUACUGGACCUAGCGGCGGACGGGUGAGUAAUGCUUAGGAAUCUGCCUAUUAGUGGGGGACAACAUCUCGAAAGGGAUGCUAAUACCGCAUACGUCCUACGGGAGAAAGCAGGGGAUCUUCGGACCUUGCGCUAAUAGAUGAGCCUAAGUCGGAUUAGCUAGUUGGUGGGGUAAAGGCCUACCAAGGCGACGAUCUGUAGCGGGUCUGAGAGGAUGAUCCGCCACACUGGGACUGAGACACGGCCCAGACUCCUACGGGAGGCAGCAGUGGGGAAUAUUGGACAAUGGGGGGAACCCUGAUCCAGCCAUGCCGCGUGUGUGAAGAAGGCCUUAUGGUUGUAAAGCACUUUAAGCGAGGAGGAGGCUACUCUAGUUAAUACCUAGGGAUAGUGGACGUUACUCGCAGAAUAAGCACCGGCUAACUCUGUGCCAGCAGCCGCGGUAAUACAGAGGGUGCGAGCGUUAAUCGGAUUUACUGGGCGUAAAGCGUGCGUAGGCGGCUUAUUAAGUCGGAUGUGAAAUCCCCGAGCUUAACUUGGGAAUUGCAUUCGAUACUGGUGAGCUAGAGUAUGGGAGAGGAUGGUAGAAUUCCAGGUGUAGCGGUGAAAUGCGUAGAGAUCUGGAGGAAUACCGAUGGCGAAGGCAGCCAUCUGACCUAAUACUGACGCUGAGGUACGAAAG